rnacentral:rRNA from 1 species
CCUGAGAAACCCAAAAGAUCGAAUGGGGAGAUUCAUCAUCAGCGGCUCCGGUGCGUGUGCGGCUCGGGAUUCCGCGGGGUCUCGGCCUCGCGGAACUCGUCCGCAUGGUUUUUAUAUGCCGGAGCCGUCGACGUGCACUUCUCCCCUUGUAGGACGUCGCGACCCGUUGGGUGUCGGUCUACGACCCGAGUGGGAGUCUGUCGUGCGGCGCGCUUCGCGGUUCGCCAUGCGGCAGACCCUCGGAUGUCCGACCACUGCCCGGCGGUACUCGCACGGUAUCGGGCCGCAAAAUUUGAACUGCGUCCGGCCCGUCGCAAGCGAGGACAAGUGUUUCUCGGAUGUACGGACCUCGUGCCGUCGCCGGGCCUGUCCAGCUGUUGGUCGACGGAGCUCUUGGACUGGCUCUUAACGAAUAUAUACCGGUCAGCGACGCUACUGCUUUGGGUACUUUCAGGA